GAUGAACGCUGGCGGCGUGCCUAAUACAUGCAAGUCGAGCGAACAGAUAAGGAGCUUGCUCCUUUGACGUUAGCGGCGGACGGGUGAGUAACACGUGGAUAACCUACCUAUAAGACUGGGAUAACUUCGGGAAACCGGAGCUAAUACCGGAUAACAUAUUGAACCGCAUGGUUCAAUAGUGAAAGGCGGCUUUGCUGUCACUUAUAGAUGGAUCCGCGCCGUAUUAGCUAGUUGGUAAGGUAACGGCUUACCAAGGCAACGAUACGUAGCCGACCUGAGAGGGUGAUCGGCCACACUGGAACUGAGACACGGUCCAGACUCCUACGGGAGGCAGCAGUAGGGAAUCUUCCGCAAGGGGCGAAAGCCUGACGGAGCAACGCCGCGUGAGUGAUGAAGGUCUUCGGAUCGUAAAACUCUGUUAUCAGGGAAGAACAAAUGUGUAAGUAACUGUGCACAUCUUGACGGUACCUGAUCAGAAAGCCACGGCUAACUACGUG
rnacentral:rRNA from 1 species